GCUUUUAAAGGAAAAUAGUUUAUCCACUGGCCUUAGGAGCCAUCACCCCCUGGUGCAAAUCCAGGUAAAAGCU
rnacentral:tRNA from 1 species